AAGAAAGGCUGCAACGGGAAGCGACCCGACUGCAGUGUCCUGAGACUGAGCUCAAGGAAAGUUAGGUGCAUUUACCAGGUCAACUACUCUUGGUUUUUCAGAAAAAUGGACAGUUUGAAUCAAGCACUGCAUGCAAAAUCCAUCUAAACAGAAAGACCUUGAGAGAUUGCUUCACAUAAAUUAAAGAUGUGACCCCACAGAUAACCCUGUUUAGAUCAGGUUUUGCCAAGCCUAAGAAGACUUACUCCAGCAGCUGACAUUAGUAUAAUGAUGGUGUAACCAAACAGCAGCCAUGUCCAGCAAGACUUCCUCUAAACGUCGUUAUCAACCAGCAGCAGAGUUUGAUGAUGCCACUAUCGCCCGCAAAAGGGAAUAUUGGAGGAGUAAGAAAAGAGAGCAGAGGGCAAGAAAGUCAUCUACCAAAAAGAAGAUUGGAAAUGAAAAUCUGGGGUUGCGCAUGUCUGUUGUUAGUGAAGCCAGCAAUGAUCCCUCUCUACAUAAUCAUAAUGUUUCAUUCAAACGGGAAGAUGCUGAUGCUCCUAAAAACUCCUUCAGCUCAGGUCUAUCAGUAUCUGAGACUAAUAUUACUAUGGUGCCAUGCCAAAAUGCGAGAUGGUUUCAAAGGACCAAGCUCAACCAUGCCUUACCUCAGUACCCAGAAACAAGCACAGAUUCCCUGAAGGGUGUAAUGGGUAAUAAAAAAAUAAAGCCCUCAGAUACAGGGUCAUCAAAAACAAAUGCUUCAACGGUUGAAUAUCUCUGCCCUACAGUCCAUUCGGUGCCUACAACAUGCAUCGAGUUGCAUCCAAACAGUACUCAUGCUCAAAAAACAAAAUCAGGAAUGUCAUCCCUAAAUGGCAAGCACAUAACAACAUCUUUGCAAAGCCAUGUAUCCAUGGUUUUACCAGUGCACAGAAACCAAAAUAAGCCUCAGAACUCACUUGGACCCUUGACCUCUGCAGAAUGUAAGGUUCAUGAAAACCAGAAUCCUAUCACUAAGAGAAGAACAUGUGCCUUUGCUUCAGAGCACAACACAGGAGUGGCUAUGACUGAAGAAGAGAUGGUUGCUAAGCGUAGAGAGAAAUGGCGUAUCAAAAAGCGGGAACAGAGAGCAAAGCGUGCUGCAAUGCUGGCCCGGGACCGAGAAGGGAGUCUCGGACAAGGACAACCUUUAUCUGUUGGUAUCAUGCAUGCUUCGUCUCCUACUUACAGUAAGGCCUUGAGAGGAAUCAGUCUCAACUCAAAUCUUGUAUCCCUCAAUCAACAGUCGCUGGGAGCAAAAUUUAACGGUUCUCGAACAACACAACUACAUGUUCAGAGUACUAAACCAAACCAUGCAUCCUUAACCUCUGGUAUUUUGCAGUCAUCCUCAAGUAAAUCCAAAGUACAGAAAUGUGCACAUACUCAAAAGAGACGUUGUCAAAACCAAAUGAGGAAAUCCACCCUUGGUGCUUCCAAAGUUGAGUCUCCCGAGGAUCGCCAUGCCAGGCAGAAAGAAUACUGGAGAAUUAAGAAACGUGAGCAGAGAGCAAGGCUGUCUAUGGCAUUAAAAGCACGACUGAAGGAACGUGACGCACUAAAGCAUCAUGGGAGACACUCCUACAGCAGUUUCAACCAGGCGUGCGGAGUUGAAGCGAGCAAAACAAGUGCAUUUGAAGUUUCCUCAGAUACCAUUGGUGGUUUUAUCAAAGAAGAUGGCACGGUGACAGUCACCAUUUCUAAGACAUCUCCCGAGGCUUCCCUACCUGCAAGUCAAGACAUUUCCAAUGUGAAAUGCAUUGGAAAUGUAAAACUCCAGGUUCAAGUAAAUUCUCCCCUAUAUUCAGAUGCUCCACCAGUCACAAAGCUAGCUUCCGCUCCAUUCAACAUUUCUAGUAACUGUACUAAUGCUCAACAAAACUCUUUAGUAAAGUCUAGGUUAACCAGAGGUGCAGUUAUGGGCAGUAUGACAGUCACCAUCCAGUCUGAAACCCCAACAGAAGAAGGAAGGGUCGCCCGUUUGAGGGAGUAUUGGAGGAUAAAGAAACGAGAGCAAAGGGCUAGUCGAGCUGCCCGACUUGGGAAUGGUCUGCUUAGGUCGAAGGUUUCUGUGUUAAAGCAGAGAGAGCAAAACAAGAAGACAAACCAUAGGCAGAGUAUUACUUCAUCUAUCACCACAACAGUUUGUCACUCCUCUACCAGUGCCCCAAUACCUAUAAAAGAAGAGCAUGUCUAUCCCACUAUACAAGCUGUGUUUUCCAUCCCAGAAAUUACUCCCUGCAUCAGUGUUAAUAGUUGCAAAGAAUCCUUAGAAUCACACAUUGAGCCUCCAACAGCUGUGGACCAUCAUGCCACCACUCUUCAGGCUGUUGCCUCCAUGAAAAAGCUCCUGGAGGAAUCAGUUUACACACCAGAAGAAAAUAAUGCCAACGAAAUGCAUGUUAAGUGUGAAAAUGAGCCUCUUCCGUUGACUAAAGAUGACCUUUUUAAAUCUGAAGAUGCAAAGCCAAGUCUUACCUUACAACAAAACGUCUUGUUACAGUGUGACCUCUCAAAAGACACAAGCCUUAAAGAUAUCGAAUUGAGUCCUCAGGCAUCAACUUUUGAAAACACCAGUCGUUAUAAGACUCAUAACGUCUGUCAAGAGGCUACAGAUGGAAGUCAUGCCAUUUCUCCAGUGGCUCUGCAACCUCAGAAGUUCAGUGAUGGUGGAGCAGAUCCCAAGCAGGCCUGCCCUUCACAGGCCUUGCAAAAGCAGCAGCUUGGUGAAAGUGAUGAGCUUCAACGAAAGAGAGAGUAUUGGCGGUUAAAGAAGAGACAACAGCGGGCUAGAAAAGCCAACAAAGAUGCAACCAAACAUGCAGUUCUUCGUAAUCUGCCACAGAAGAAAACACGAAGCACAACUCUCAUGCAAGCCAUGUCCCAGGACACUUCCACAUGCAGACAGAUCCCCAUUCAGAAAAAAACAAGCAGGUGCACCAAGCCUUCUGGUCCACAAACACAACCUACAGAUAAAUCAAGAUGUGAUAGAAGCCAAAUAGUGGCAACGCCAAAUCCACAAGAAGAUCCAGAGGAGGUUAUACGUAGAAGACGCAUGCAGUGGAGGAUCAAGAAACAGGAGCAGAGAGCUAGAAAGGCAGCACGUGAGAGAAAGCUACACCAGAUGAUGGUCCCUCCACAAGGCCAGGAUUUACAGAGUCAGAACUCUCCCAGUCUCUGCUCAGCAGUAGUUCAGAGUGUAACUUUAGAAGACCAACUUGGCUACUUUGCUGAACCAUGUCAACCUGCACUCAAAGAGGAGUCAAGCUUUGCACCAAAUGAUGCAAUGGAGGGACCUUUAUCACAGGAAGAGUGGAGAAAUGUCUACCUCAUGGACUUUGAUCCUGUCAACCCUUUGUUGGUGUGUAUGGUUUGUGGAGAGCAGCAGUACUCUGUGAGUGUGGAAGGCGUCAAGGCUCACAUUGAGGAGGCGCAUCCUGAUACACUAUCAUUGGGAGACCUUGAACAUCAAGGCUUUCUCGAAGCCUGGGAUAAACAGGUGGCAGUCCGAGAGCACUUCAUCACCCACCAGCUUCAACAGCGAUGCAGAGCUUCUACAGAACGGAAUUUAACCUGCCCGGUCAAAAUUGAAGCUAAGGUCGUGGCCAACGACUUUGAGUGAACUGAUGGGUGACUGACAGACAUGACCAUGUCUUGUUCUGAUGGCCAUCUAGUUGAUGAGGUCUUCGCAGGGGAUCUGUCUCUGUGGCUCAUCUAGUUGACGUGGUCUCCGCUGACGUUCACUAAAACCUAACUUCAUGCCUUAAUGAUUUAAGAUUCCGUUUUCUUACAUUUUCUUUGUAAGUUCCAUCAGUCACGUAAGAGAUCAAUAUCAAAAUGUUGAUUCACCCUUUUUUCAUUACUGAGCCUCAUUAACUGUAUGUUUACAUUCUGGUAAUACUCCAAACAGUGCAUUUACAGAACCUGUAAAUCAGGUUACAAAAUAAGAUCCAUCUAUAAAAACGUUAACACACAAACAACUGGCAUGUUAUUCUGUAAUCUAAAGAACUGCAUUUUGAUUUUGUAUUUCCAGUAUUUAUUUCUGUACAGUUUAUGCACUUCAUAAU
rnacentral:lncRNA from 1 species